rnacentral:rRNA from 1 species
UACAGAGGGGGCAAGCGUUGUUCGGAAUUACUGGGCGUAAAGGGCGCGUAGGCGGCCGCCUAAGUCAGACGUGAAAUCCCUCGGCUCAACCGGGGAACUGCAUCCGAUACUGGAUGGCUUGAAUCCGGGAGAGGGAUGCAGAAUUCCAGGUGUAGCGGUGAAAUGCGUAGAUAUCUGGAGGAAUACCGGUGGCGAAGGCGGCAUCCUGGACCGGCAUUGGACGCUGAGGGAGCGAAAGCCAGGGGAGCAAAGCGGG